rnacentral:lncRNA from 1 species
GGAAAAAGGAAGGUGAAGCAAACGCUGCCGUCUUGGCAGCUGUUAAGUCGGGGUUUGUACAUGGGUGUUUAUUACACCUUUUUAAAAAUUCUUUGGAAUGUUAACAAAACAAUGCAGCGGGUGGGGGAGAGAGACAGACAGACAUAGAGCCAGAAACUAUGAAUGAGAACGUAUGGCGGUGAGAAGCUCCACAAAAGUAGUUUGGGGCUGCCAUUGCCAGGCGUUUCCUCUCUUGUGCGUCUCUCCUGGCUCAGCAUUCCGGAUGAUCCUAGCUUUCCCCGAGAAGUUGUGAUUUCUCAUCUCUUCUUGCUCGGAAGGCGAGACAACUCCCCAGAGGUUCAUUUCCAGGAUUCCUCACACCGGAAACAGAGCGAGUCUGCAGAGAAGGAUGAAUAACCAUGAUGACACUCUUGGCAAUCGGGACACUGGGAACCUGGCCCCGCCGAAGCUUGUAGCUGAUGUCCUCACUGCAGGGUCAUCUGCACUGUAAAGCAGGGGAUCAAAUCCUGCAUCACUUGUCAUCUGACACUGGGAAAGUCACUAGACCUCUUCGAGCCUCCAUUCUUUAUCUGUGAAAUGAUGGCUGUGUGUACCUCCUAAAAUAAUACGGGC